rnacentral:rRNA from 1 species
AUUGAACGCUGGCGGAAUGCUUUACACAUGCAAGUCGAACGGCAGCACGGGGGCAACCCUGGUGGCGAGUGGCGAACGGGUGAGUAAUACAUCGGAACAUGCCCGGUCGUGGGGGAUAACGUAGCGAAAGUUACGCUAAUACCGCAUACGAUCUGAGGAUGAAAGCGGGGGACCUUCGGGCCUCGCGCGAUCGGAGCGGCCGAUGUCAGAUUAGGUAGUUGGUGGGGUAACGGCCUACCAAGCCGACGAUCUGUAGCUGGUCUGAGAGGACGACCAGCCACACUGGGACUGAGACACGGCCCAGACUCCUACGGGAGGCAGCAGUGGGGAAUUUUGGACAAUGGGCGCAAGCCUGAUCCAGCCAUUCCGCGUGCAGGACGAAGGCCUUCGGGUUGUAAACUGCUUUUGUAUGGAACGAAAAGGCUCUGGCUAAUACCUGGGGCUCAUGACGGUACCGUAAGAAUAAGCACCGGCUAACUACGUG